rnacentral:rRNA from 1 species
UACGUAGGGUGCGAGCGUUAAUCGGAAUUACUGGGCGUAAAGUGUGCGCAGGCGGCCGCGCAAGUCGAGUGUGAAAGCCCCGAGCUUAACUUGGGAAUUGCGCUCGAAACUACGUGGCUGGAGUGUGGCAGAGGAAGGUGGAAUUCCAGGUGUAGCGGUGAAAUGCGUAGAGAUCUGGAGGAACACCUGCGGCGAAGGCGGGUUGCUGGGCUGACACUGACGCUGAACUGCGAAAGCUAGGGGAGCGAACGGG